GGGUCAGGUGCUACUUUGUCGGGACGGUUUUCCCGAGCCUUAUCCUCUCCGUCGCAGGCGCUGCCCCUGCUCUCCCGUUCUUGCCCAUCGCGGGCGCUGCCCCUGGCCCCUGCUCCUCCCAUUCUCUCCAUGGCGCCGCCCUAGCCCCCCCUCUCCUUCCCAUGACAGGCACCAAGAUCGACGGUCGAGCCUCUGCCGCCUUUCUGCCCCAUUCAUCCAGCUUCAGGUGCUCGACGGAGGCCGGCGAGAAUCUUUGACGAGGUAGAUGGAUUGCUGGGGUUGGAUGGAUUGGACGGAAGAGAUCUGAGAACUUUCGCCGGGAGUUAGUAAGGUUUCAGGAGGAUGAUGGACGCCGACGAGAUUGUCCAUUUCGCCUUCCCGUCCUAUGACCAGAUGAAUUGCGGCAUCAAGAUGUCAGCCAAGACGAUGGCGUCAUUGUUAUAGUUUGUGUGGUUCUUGACCAAACACGUUGGAUUGGCGAGGAUAUUGUGCAGGGGGAUGAGGGUAAUGAAGGAGAUAAUACAGAACGAUAGUCACAAGCUAGUAGGAUAAGGGCAUCACCUGGGAGGUUGGUGACGUUGAACAAUAAGUUGAGCCCAUUACAAAAGUCUCACCUCUGCCAGAAGCUGUUUGAAUAUGGAACAAUAAGUUUUGCAUUGGAGGGAAUUCAGAUUUCGGAACUUGUUUGUACGCUCAUUUUUUACAUUUUUCUUUAUUGCUCUUUUUGUCGCAUAGAGCAGUUGUGUCUCUUGCACAGUUUUUACUAAAUAGGUUGCACAGAUACAACCCAGUAAUUGGUUUAUUCCUUUUUCUCACAUUUUUUUCUUGUUUUCAAUGAUGUACGGGUUCUUUUGGCCAAAGAGGCUGAUCUAGAUUUGCUGCACAUAAUUCAAGCUACAAUUCUUGUACACUACUAUUUGGGAAGUAGAAAUAAGAUUAUGAUGUCAGGAAAUAGAUUUUCAUCUUUUUUAUGUUUUACUUUUAGUAUAUAGAACACCCUAUAGAACAUAUUCCCGCUACUGCUAUUUGUGUGAGACAAGACUAUUGUACUCUCCUUUGUACUACUGUUUCUUGUGCUUCUUCUGGUCUGGAUUCAUGUUUUAGUUGCACACAUUUACAGCAAAAGUUGGCUUUGGAUUCAUGUUUAGUUGCACAAAUAUAUGUAUAUUUUUGCACAAACAGCACACAUCCAUGUCGGUGUGUGUUGGUUGCACACAUUUACAGCAAAAGUUGGCUUUUAAAAUCCAUGAUUAGUUUGCACAUCUCUUUUCUAGUCUUGGCUGUUUGGUUGCACACAUAGCAGGAAAAGUUGGUUUUGGAUCCAUGUUUUAGUUGGCACAAAUAUAGGCUUCUAUUUGCACACAUGGCAUAAAAAGGUUUCUUAUGAUCCUUCCCCUGAUUUUCAGUAUGAGUAAAUAGGCUAUAAAAUAUGUUUUUAUGGUGUUUUUGUCUAUGUGUUUUCUUAUGAAGCUUCUCCUGAUUUUCUUUUAUGUCAUGUAUGUAGGGAGAUGAUGGUGAUCAAUACCGUCUUGUAAAGCGUCAAAGACGGAAAGCAAAAGCCACAACACCCGAUGUAGGCGGUUCCUCAUCUACAACCAAUCCUGAUUCAGUGCCAUCUCAACAUGUCAGCAUUGCAUGUAGGAAAUCGGCAACCCGAGCACCUACUGUGGCAACUCCAACACCUAGUGAGCCAGCUGCAGGUCAACACAUGCAUAAUGCAUCAUCUGAUGGGCCGACACCAGCAACUAGUGAGGGAAACACACUUUCAUCUGUGCCAGCUCCAGUAAUCACUGUGCCAAGUACAGUAUCAAGUGAGGCAACUGUAACUCCAGAUGUGCCACCCCCAGUAGCCAAUGUGCCACCUGAAGGUCAAACUGUGCCAACUGCAGGGCAUAUGUUGGAUGUUGGUGUGAACAUCUUUUGUGCCUAUUUUGUAUCUAUUUUCAUCGGAUGUUGGUGUGAACAAUCUUUUAUGCACGUUGUGUGCCUACAGGUGGCUGCUGCAACUUGUCUAGUUGCACGAAAGCAGUAUAUAGUUGCACCAACUUGUUUACUUUUUUUGGCACACAGUGUUGCUACAAUUGGCUGCUGUAACUUGAUUGGUUGCACGAAAGCAGCAUAUUGGUUGCACAGAUUCUGUGCCAACCCCCUACA